UACGUAGGGUGCGAGCGUUAAUCGGAAUUACUGGGCGUAAAGCGUGCGCAGGCGGUUUUGUAAGCCAGAUGUGAAAUCCCCGGGCUUAACCUGGGAAUGGCAUUUGGGACUGCAAGGCUUGAGUGCGGCAGAGGAGACUGGAAUUCCUGGUGUAGCAGUGAAAUGCGUAGAUAUCAGGAGGAACACCGAUGGCGAAGGCAGGUCUCUGGGCUGGCUCUGACGCUCAUGCACGAAAGCGUGGGGAGCAAACAGG
rnacentral:rRNA from 1 species